UGGACACGUCUCUGUCCCAUUUUCUACACAGCAGUCCGACAUGAUUGGCUUUAUCUGAAUGUUGGCUAAAGCCCCGAGAUGGAUUGGCACCAGUGUCUAGUGUUUCCCGGUAGAACAGAACCUGCUGCGACCCUGACCAGGAUAAAGAGUUUGAUGAGUAUAAAAUGAAUUGAUAAAUGGGAGAAGGAAUCUUCUGUCAAAUUGAAGGAGCUCAGAAGAGGACGUGAAUUCCAGCUGGAUCUGAGCUGUGUCAGCAAAACCUCCUGAAAUCUGUGUCAUUAAAAUGGACUAGCUUGAAUUUUCAUCCUUUAUCAGCACGUCAGUGAAGUUUGGUGGUUCUGACGGAAACCUGUUUACCCACCAGAGGUUGUCAAGACCAACAAUGCCAUGCCAACAAUGCUGCUCCUGCUAGAUGUGACAGAAGCCUGGCGUGUUUGCACCAAAAAUGUCAGGAACUCACUACAGACUUUAUCACAGACUAUUAUUUAUUGCCAGUUAUAACAUUUAGUUCAAUUUAAUUUUGUGUUUGUAUGAUUUGUGUAAAUUCUAUUCAUUUAAAUUAUCCACCAGGCCACCCAAGGAGGACGGGGGGCCCUGCUGAGUCUGGUUCCUCUCAAGGUUUUUUCCUGUAUUUUAAGAGUUUUUCCUUGCCACUGUCGCCCUCGUCUUGCUCAAUAGAAGGUUUUUGGUCUGUCGGUCCUGGAGUCUGUAAAGUUGCUUUGAGGCAAUGUCCAUUGUAAAAAGCACUAUACAAAUAAAUUUGACUUGACUUGACCCUGUUUGUGCCACUGGUACUCCCCCCACAGACACCAAAUCCAGUUGUGUCCAACUGCAGCUUCUCUCUUUCUCGUUCCUACCCACUGUUCCCUCUGGCACACACAGCCACCAUUCUCUUCUUUUCACUUGCUAGGGCCGAGGUUUCGCAGACCGCAGUAUUGAAUCUGGAAAGCCACGCACUGCUGUCUGUGAUCAGCUGACCCCUUGCAGUUGCUUGACCAUCAGUACAGAUUGCAAUUGCCCAGCAAUGAGAAACCCACUGUCUCUCCCCUGUGUACAUUUACAUUUUUGGCUUUUAGCAGACGCUUUUAUCCAAAGCGACAGUACAUGUACAGUACCAUGACAGUAUAUUAUCUAAGCAAUUGAGGUUUAAGGGCCUUGUUCAAGGGCCCGACAGUGGCAACCUGGCAACCUUUAGAUUACUAGUUCGGUACCUUAACCACUAGGCUACAACUGUGUAGGCACCCGGCCGGUGAGAUUUAAAAUUAAGAGACCCCAGCACUGAUGGGCUAGACAUUUAUGCACUUUAUUUAUUUAUUUAUUUAUUGUUGUUCUAUUGCUGGGUGGCACAGUGUUUUAGUGGGUAGCACUGUCGCCUCACAGCAAGAAGGUCCUGGGUUCGAUCCCCAGGCGUGGGUUUCCUCUGGGAGCUCCGGUUUCCUCCCACAGUCCAAAAACAUGCAGUCAGAUUAAUUGGAGACACUGAUUUGCCCUAUAAGUGUGUGUGUGUGUAUGUGUGUGUGCGUGUGUAUGUAUGUUUGUCUGCCCUGCGAUGGACUGGCGUCCCAUCCAGGGUGUUACUGUGUGCCUUGCGCCCAUUGAAAAGCUGGGACAGGCUCCAGCACCCCCCCCAGUGACCCUAAUUGGAUAAGCAAAUAAGACAAUGAAUGAAUGAAUGAAUGAAUGUUCUAUUGCCAUCGGAACCUUAAUGUAAAGAAUCACUCUUAUAUCUAACAUUAAACAGUGCAUUAAAAUAGCACAUUUAACACAGCAGUUCUAAUAAAAUAAAACACGCCUGAUAAACUGUAAAUUCUAGUAACCUCUACACCCUAAAGCAUGAAACAGCUCCCUUAUUUAUUUAUCUUUUUUUAACUUCUUCUAUUUUAUUGAUUUUUUGUUCUGUUAAAAUUUUAUUGCUCCGGCACCUCAGUGCAGCUCGGCUGCUUCUAUUUAUUUCCCCCAAGUUUUGUGUCUCCAAACAGAAUAAAAGUGAUGUUAGAGUCCA